rnacentral:rRNA from 1 species
GAUGAACGCUGGCGGCGUGCCUAAUACAUGCAAGUCGAGCGAACGGACGAGAAGCUUGCUUUUCUGAUGUUAGCGACGGACGGGUGAGUAACACGUGGAUAACCUACCUAUAAGACUGGGAUAACUUCGGGAAACCGGAGCUAAUACCGGAUAAUAUUUUGAACCGCAUGGUUCAAAAGUGAAAGACGGUCUUGCUGUCACUUAUAGAUGGAUCCGCGCUGCAUUAGCUAGUUGGUAAGGUAACGGCUUACCAAGGCAACGAUGCAUAGCCGACCUGAGAGGGUGAUCGGCCACACUGGAACUGAGACACGGUUCAGACUCCUACGGGAGGCAGCAGUAGGGAAUCUUCCGCAAUGGGCGAAAGCCUGACGGAGCAACGCCGCGUGAGUGAUGAAGGUCUUCGGAUCGUAAAACUCUGUUAUUAGGGAAGAACAUAUGUGUAAGUAACUGUGCACAUCUUGACGGUACCUAAUCAGAAAGCCACGGCUAACUACGUG